GGAGAGAUGCUCGAGUGGCUGAAGAGGCACGCCUGGAAAGCGUGUAUGCGUCAAAAGCGCAUCGGGGGUUCGAAUCCCCCUCUCUCCG
rnacentral:tRNA from 1 species